GUGUGUGUGUGUGACACUGGUCUGUCUGUCUGUCAGUGGGGGGUGUGUGUGUGUGUGUGACACUGGUCUGUCUGUCUGUCAGUGGGGUGUGUGUGUGUGACACUGGUCUGUCUGCACACUCAGACCCUCAGUACAGAGGACAGAUAGCCGCGGCUCUGGUGCGAUUUUACACGCGGGAUUCCCGAUGUCGCAGGUCUCGCAGGGCUGGAAGACUCGCGAACGACACGGCGCCCUUUAACUGCGCGACUCGUGUCAUUUUGCUCCAUCCCAGUGAGAGCUGUGCAGGGCGUGCGACAACCCCGCCCGAGCGUCUCGCUCUGCGCGAGCAGCUGGGCAGCUUCCUUUGUCUGGCGCGAGCCGGCUCGCCGGUCCUCGCGCACCCGACGGCACCACGCCCAGGCGAGCCCACAGACCCGCCCGGUCCCGCUCGGUCCAGCCCGGCGCCUCUGAGACCCCCCCGAACCCCGCCUCGCCGCUGGCCCCGGCGGUACUCACCAGCUUCAUGGCCGCGGCCAUGUCGUCGUACCGCUCCGCCUGCUCCGCGAGCCGGGCUCUCUGCACGAGCUGCUCUCGGUCCACCAUGGCUGUUGGGUCGCGCUCACGCCGCGGGACAAGGCAGGGCUGCCGCACGCGCUGAUCCUAGCAGGCUGCGCUCUGCGCGAGAGCUUCCGGCGCCUCCGGCCGCGGCGGGUCGAGGUUCGGGGAUCCGGCUGGCUGACGGAAGCGAAGGCGGGUCGGGACCGCUCUGCGCCUCUCCGGGGCUCAAGCGCUGGACGACUCGAGACUAACGGGGAAACCGUUAUAUCGCGCCCGCCCUGCCUCUCUCUCACUCCCAGUGCAAGCCUGCCUCUGCCUCGCGCUCGCUCUCGCGCUCCCUGCUCGCCGUCUCGCGCUGCUGCUGCUGCUGCUACUGCUGCUGCUUCCCACGGUGCCUCGCGCACUUUGCCGCAGUCGCGCAGGCGCACUCAAGUCCCCCUCGAGUGCAGGGGGGCAGAGGGAAGGCGGCGGGGACGAGGGGGGGGGG
rnacentral:lncRNA from 1 species